rnacentral:rRNA from 1 species
CCGCCGGCGACCGGCACACGGGUGAGUAACACGUAUGCAACCUGGCCGUGACAGAUGGAUAACCGGGAGAAAUCCCGCCUAAUACAACAUAAUGCCGGGAGGGGACAUCCCCUGCCGGCCAAAGGGGGCGACCCCGGUCACGGAUGGGCAUGCGGCGCAUUAGGUAGUUGGUGGGGCAACGGCCCACCAAGCCGACGAUGCGUAGGGGUUCUGAGAGGAAGGUCCCCCACAUUGGAACUGAGACACGGUCCAAACUCCUACGGAAGGCAGCAG